UACGAAGGGGGCUAGCGUUGCUCGGAAUGACUGGGCGUAAAGGGCGCGUAGGCGGAUGGCACAGUCAGAUGUGAAAUUCCCGGGCUUAACCUGGGGGCUGCAUUUGAUACGUGUUGUCUAGAGUGAGGAAGAGGGUCGUGGAAUUCCCAGUGUAGAGGUGAAAUUCGUAGAUAUUGGGAAGAACACCGGUGGCGAAGGCGGCGACCUGGUCCUUGACUGACGCUGAGGCGCGAAAGCGUGGGGAGCAAACAGGAUUGAGAA
rnacentral:rRNA from 1 species